rnacentral:rRNA from 1 species
AUGAAUGCUGGCGGCGUGCCUUAGGCAUGCAAGUCGACCGACGUGCUCGCAAGAGCGACGAGGGGCGGACGGUGUGAGUAACACGUGGGAAUCUACCCUAAAGUGGAGGAUAACUAGCCGAAAGGUUAGCUAAUACUGCAUGUGACCGCAAGGUCAAAGCUCUUAACUGGGCGCUUUAGGAUGAGCCUGCGGCCUAUCAGCUAGUUGGUGGGGUAAAGGCCUACCAAGGCGACGACGGGUAGCUGGUCUGAGAGGAUGGUCAGCCACAAUGGCACUGAGACACGGGCCAUACACCUACGGGGUGGCAGCAACCGGGAAUUUUCGGCAAUGGGGGAAACCCUGACCGAGCGACGCCGCGUGAAGGAUGAAGGCCUCCGGGUUGUAAACUUCUUUUGCAUGGGACUAACACUGACGGUACCAUGAGAAUAAGCACCUGCUAACCACGUGCCAGCAGCCGCGGUGAGACGUGGGGUGCAAGCAUUAUCCGGAAUUACUGGGCGUAAAGAGUUCUGUAGGCGCCUAAUUAAGUUCUCAUUUAAAUCUCCAGGCUCAACCUGGAUUUCGGUGAGAAAACUAAUAAGGUUGAGAAUAGUAGGGACUUGGGGAACAAAUGGUGGAGCAGUGAAAUGCGUUGAUAUCAUUUGGAACACCAAAGGCGAAGGCACCAAGUUGGGCUAUUUCUGACGCUGAGAGACGAAAGCGUGGGGAGCAAAACGGAUUAGAUACCCGUGUAGUCCACGCCGUAAACGAUGGAUACUAGAUAUUAUCGGUAUUGACCCCGGUAGUGUCGUAAGCUAACGCGUUAAGUAUCCCGCCUGGGGAGUACGGUCGCAAGGCUAAAACUCAAAGGAAUUGACGGGGACCCGCACAAGCAGGGGAACGUGUGGUUUAAUUCGAGACAAAACGAAGAACCUCACCAGGGUUUGACAUGUAUGUUUUAGGAUCCAGAAAUGGAAACAAACCGCAAGGUAGCAUACACAGGUGCUGCAUGGCUGUCGUCAGCUCGUGUCGUGAGAUGUCGGGUUAAGUCCCACAACGAGCGCAACCCCCAUCACUAGUUGUAUCACUCUAGUGAAACUGCCUCUUACAAAAGAGGAGGAAGGUGGGGAUGAUGUCAAGUCAGCAUAGCCCUUAUGUCCUGGGCCACACACACGUUACAAUGGGAGUAAACAAAGGGCUGCGAAGUCGCGAGGCGGAGCUAAUCCCUUAAAACCUCCCUCAGUUCAGAUAGGAGUCUGCAACUCGACUCCUUGAAGCCGGACUUGCUAGUAAUCGCAGAUCAGCAUGCUGCGGUGAUACGUUCCUCGGGUCUUGCACACA